rnacentral:rRNA from 1 species
UACGGAGGAUGCGAGCGUUAUCCGGAUUUAUUGGGUUUAAAGGGUGCGUAGGCGGACUGUUAAGUCAGCGGUAAAAGCCCGGGGCUCAACCCCGGCGAGCCGUUGAAACUGGCUGUCUUGAGAUGUCGAGAGGUAUGCGGAAUGCGCAGUGUAGCGGUGAAAUGCUUAGAUAUCAUGAAGAACUCCGAUCGCGAAGGCAAGUGUCCGGGGUGCAACUGACGCUGAGGCUCGAAAGUGCGGGUAUCAAACAGG